rnacentral:lncRNA from 1 species
UUUAUUUGUUAAGAAAUACAUAUAUAAGUGUAAAAUUUCUGAAUUUAUUCGCAUACAAAUACUUAACUAUUUUUAUAACAUCCAAUACAUAUACAAAUGUUGAAAUUAGCAGUCUAUUUGGUGUAGCCAUUCAACGAUUUCUUUCGCCAUUUUUCUAUUUGUAGGGUUCACUCUUCAGACGAUGCUGAAAUUAACAGUUUAUUUGUGUUUUGAUACAUUUUGGCCAGAUCUAGCUCUUUCCGUCAUCAUCCAUGAUCGUCAUUAAUGGUGAAUCUUAGAGUAAGGGAAGAAGAAUGGGACAACUUUAGUGGUGGUUGUAGGGUGGUGUUCGUUGGAUGUUACAGGAAAAUGAAGAGAGGCGAAAAGGGUGCUCAAAUCUGGCCCUUUCCGUCAUCAUCCAUGCCUAGAGCUCGAAGCUCGCCAUUAAUGACAGAACUUCAAGUAAUGAAAGGAAAAUCGAAAUUAAAAAACUGUAAAA